rnacentral:rRNA from 1 species
UACGUAGGGUGCAAGCGUUAAUCGGAAUUACUGGGCGUAAAGCGUGCGCAGGCGGUUUUGUAAGUCUGUCGUGAAAUCCCCGGGCUCAACCUGGGAAUUGCGAUGGAGACUGCAAGGCUAGAAUCUGGCAGAGGGGGGUAGAAUUCCACGUGUAGCAGUGAAAUGCGCAGAUAUCAGGAGGAACACCGAUGGCGAAGGCAGCUCGCUGGGACGGUACUGACGCUGAGGCGCGAAAGCGUGGGGAGCAAACAGG